rnacentral:rRNA from 1 species
GGGGCUCUACGGGGCGCAGCAGUGAGGAAUAUUGGUCAAUGGGCGGGAGCCUGAACCAGCCAAGUCGCGUGAGGGAAGACGGUCCUAUGGAUUGUAAACCUCUUUAGGCGGGGAGCAAUGCCGGGCACGCGUGCCCGGAGGGAGAGUACCCGCAGAAUAAGCAUCGGCUAACUCCGUGCCAGCAGCCGCGGUAAUACGGAGGAUGCGAGCGUUAUCCGGAUUUAUUGGGUUU